UCAAAAGUCAAGUCGGGGGCUGCGAAGCCUUCGUCUACACCCAUGUCUUUUGCGUACUUCUUGUUUCCUCGGUGGCGCAAGCCGCCGAUUGGACAAACCAAACCUUUUUUGUAAUUGCAAUCAGCGUCUGAAAAUAAUCUAAUUAUUUA
rnacentral:misc_RNA from 1 species